UCAGGGGGUAUUUUAUUUAAAAUAUUAGUUUUGGGGAUUAAUGAAAUGGUGUAUGUAUGCCUUUCCUCUGAA
rnacentral:tRNA from 1 species